AAACGACUCUCGGCAACGGAUAUCUCGGCUCUCGCAUCGAUGAAGAACGUAGCGAAAUGCGAUACUUGGUGUGAAUUGCAGAAUCCCGUGAACCAUCGAGUCUUUGAACGCAAGUUGCGCCCGAAGCCAUCCGGUCGAGGGCACGUCUGCCUGGGCGUCACGC
rnacentral:rRNA from 1 species